GAAAUGCGAUAAGUAAUGUGAAUUGCAGAAUUCAGUGAAUCAUCGAAUCUUUGAACGCACCUUGCGCUCCUUGGUAUUCCUUGGAGCAUGCCUGUUUGAGUAUCAUGAAAUCUUCAAAGUAAAUCUUUUGUUACCUCAAUUGGUUUCUACUUUGGUAUUGGAGGUCUUUGCAGCUUCACACCUGCUCCUCUUUGUUCAUUAGCUGGAUCUCAGUGUUAUGCUUGGUUCCACUCGGCGUGAUAAGUUAUCUAUCGCUGAGGACACUGUAAAAGGUGGCCAAGGUAAAUGCAGAUGAACCGCUUCUAAUAGUCCAUUGACUUGGACAAUACUUUUAUGAUCUGAUCUCAAAUCAGGUAGGACUACCCGCUGAACUUAAGC
rnacentral:misc_RNA from 1 species